AACGAACGCUGGCGGCAUGCCUAACACAUGCAAGUCGAACGAGACCUUCGGGUCUAGUGGCGCACGGGUGCGUAACGCGUGGGAACCUGCCCUUAGGUUCGGAAUAACUCCCCGAAAGGGGUGCUGAUACCGGAUAAUGUCUUCGGACCAAAGAUUUAUCGCCUUUGGAUGGGCCCGCGUUGGAUUAGCUAGUUGGUAGGGUAAAAGCCUACCAAGGCGAUGAUCCAUAGCUGGUCUGAGAGGAUGAUCAGCCACACUGGGACUGAGACACGGCCCAGACUCCUACGGGAGGCAGCAGUGGGGAAUAUUGGACAAUGGGCGAAAGCCUGAUCCAGCAAUGCCGCGUGAGUGAUGAAGGCCUUAGGGUUGUAAAGCUCUUUUACCCGGGAUGAUAAUGACAGUACCGGGAGAAUAAGCUCCGGCUAACUCCGUG
rnacentral:rRNA from 1 species